rnacentral:rRNA from 1 species
UACAGAGGUCCCAAGCGUUGUUCGGAUUCAUUGGGCGUAAAGGGUGCGUAGGUGGCGUCGUAAGUCGGGUGUGAAAUCUCGGGGCUUAACUCCGAAACUGCAUUCGAUACUGCGGUGCUUGAGGACUGGAGAGGAGACUGGAAUUUACGGUGUAGCAGUGAAAUGCGUAGAGAUCGUAAGGAAGACCAGUGGCGAAGGCGGGUCUCUGGACAGUUCCUGACACUGAGGCACGAAGGCCAGGGGAGCAAACAGG